AACGAACGCUGGCGGCAGGCUUAACACAUGCAAGUCGAGCGCCCCGCAAGGGGAGCGGCAGACGGGUAAGUAACGCGUGGGAACGUGCCCUUUGCUACGGAAUAGCUCCGGGAAACUGGAAUUAAUACCGUAUGAGCCCUACGGGGGAAAGAUUUAUCGGCAAAGGAUCGGCCCGCGUUGGAGUAGCUAGUUGGUGGGGUAAAGGCAUACCAAGGCGACGAUCCAUAGCUGGUCUGAGAGGAUGAUCAGCCACAUUGGGACUGAGACACGGCCCAAACUCCUACGGGAGGCAGCAGUGGGGAAUAUUGGACAAUGGGCGCAAGCCUGAUCCAGCCAUGCCGCGUGAGUGAUGAAGGCCUUAGGGUUGUAAAGCUCUUUCACCGGAGAAGAUAAUGACGGUAUCCGGAGAAGAAGCCCCGGCUAACUUCGUGCCAGCCGCCGCCGUAACAC
rnacentral:rRNA from 1 species